rnacentral:misc_RNA from 1 species
GUUUUACUGUAGAAUUCAAAAGCAAAUGAAAUAAAUUCCUUCUUUAUGUGAUUUCAAAUGGUCCUUUGGUGAUAAGAUCAUCCAAAGCUAGAAGGAUAGUAAGUUGUGUAGACAAUUAAAGGUUAGAUUUGAGAUAAGUGAUGAAGUUAGACGUUUAUGAGCCUGAAAACUCUGGCUGCUGUGACUACCUAUAAGUGACUUUGCAACAGGAAUCAUGGUUACAGAAUUCAGAGAAGGAUACCCUUGGGCCUCUGUAAAUUAGGAAGCCGUUGUUAUUCCCUUUCAUGGUUGUGUAAGUAUAUUGAAGAAUAUUUUCAAAAUUAAUUUCUGUCUCUUAAUUUGUUGUGAAUGUUGAGUUCUGGCAGUAAUAUCUACUAUACCAUCACCCUGUGUCACCAAAUUCUUAGGGAUGGGCAAGCAAAAUUUAAAAACUGAACCGCCGAUUGAAAACCUGGAAACUGAUCCACAAAGAUCACAUUAUAUGAGCUAUCAGCAGAUACUGAUACAACUCCCCUGUGUGUUAUACAUCACACUGUAUAUACUUUUAAUAUUUUGUCCUUAAAUGGUCAUUUAUUUUCUUUGUAG